rnacentral:rRNA from 1 species
GACGAACGCUGGCGGCGUGCUUAACACAUGCAAGUCGAACGGAAAGGCCCUGCUGUUGUGGGGUGCUCGAGGGGCGAACGGGUGAGUAACACGUGAGUAACCCGCCCCUUACGUUGGGAUAACUGCAGGAAACUGGGGCUAAUAACGGAUAGGAGCUCCUGCUGCAUGGGGGGGGUUGGAAAGUGUCGGCGGUUGGGGAUGGACGCGCGGCUUGUCAGCUGGUUGGUGGGGGGGUGGCUUACCAAGGGUUUGACGGGUAGCCGGCUAGAGAGGGUGACCGGCCACAUUGGGCCUGAGAUACGGCCCGAACUCCACCGGGGGGCAGCAGUGGGAAAUAUUGCACAAUGGGCGGAAGCCGGAGCAAGCAACCCCGGGGGCGGGAUACCGGCCUUCGGGUUGUAACCCGCUUUAGCAGGGGACGAGCCGUGUGUGACGGUACUUGCUAAAGAAGCACCGGCUAACUACGUG